UACGUAGGUGGCGAGCGUUGUCCGGAAUCACUGGGCGUAAAGGGCGCGUAGGCGGCAAUACAAGUCGCAUGUGAAAUACCAGGGCUCAACCCUGGGGUGUCAUGCGAAACUGUAUAGCUUGAGUGCAGUAGAGGUAAGCGGAAUUCCUGGUGUAGCGGUAAAAUGCGUAGAGAUCAGGAGGAACACCGGUGGCGAAGGCGGCUUACUGGGCUGCAACUGACGCUGAGGCGCGAAAGCGUGGGGAGCAAACAGG
rnacentral:rRNA from 1 species